UAGAGUUGCAGGUUGCCUGGUGUGGCGGGAGACCCUUUGAGUCUGUUAGCAGUGAAAGCAAAAGGCGGGUGGUCUGCUUUGUGCUGCAUAGAGGGUCAGACACAAUAUUUGGGGGCUCUUUGGAAUCCGAGGCUGCAGCAAUGGGAGGAAAAGGACCCUCUCAGUAUGCAAAUGUUUAGGCUGUUUAUAUGUGUAAAUAAGCCAUAUAUCAUAAAAACAGCACAGGCUCUACUGUGCCUCAUUUCCAACUGAAACACAGACCCAUAAGUGUCUGGAACCCCUGGAAUCUCACACCACUCAGUGAUAACAAUAUUCUCAAGAAAGAAGUGAAAAUUACAAUAUUCAUCUUGAAGACCAACUUGCAAACACCAUUCCCACAUGUGCUAAUUUAAACUUUCCAGAAUUAAAGUCAAAAAAUUGUGAUCUAUAUCUGCAAGUGCUAAUUGCUGCAUAUGUAUGUAUCUGUGAAACCUAGCAUACUUGGGAAGAGAUAUCCACUUUGGGUACAUGGGGUUUAUGGCGCCAAAUUAUUUCCCAUUCAUUGAAGAGUGAUCUAGCCAUCGGCUAUGAGAAAGCCAGAGUAAGAAUUCUCCAACGAAUCUGGGAUGUAGAACUUCAGCGUCACGUGAGCGAGAUGAAUAAGCAUCCAGCAAUCAAAGAUAAUGGGAGAGGGUUUACCCCAGUGGCAUAUUUGUCAAAAUUACAAAUACCUAAAUAUAGAUGGUCAUUUACCCUCGCUAGAUUCAAAGUGCUGCCAUCCACCUUGUUGCAGUGGAGAUACGCGGGUAAACCAUACUUGGAACAAGUCUGCCCCUGUGGCUUGAUAGAAGUGGAAACUGUCUCUCAUGUCCUGCUACAAUGCCAUUUUUACAGGGAUGUUGUUGUUGUUUAGUCGUUUAGUCAUGUCCGACUCUUCGUGACCCCAUGGACCAGAGCACGCCAGGCACUUCUGUCUUCCACUGCCUCCCGCAGUUUGGUCAGACUCAUGUUUGUAGCUUCGAAGACACUAUCCAACCAUCUCGUCCUCUGUCAUCCCCUUCUCCUUGUGCCCUCCAUCUUUCCCAACAUCAGGGUCUUUUCCAGGGAGUCUUCUCUUCUCAUGAGGUGGCUAAAGUAUUGGAGCCUCAGCUUCACGAUCUGUCCUUCCAGUGAGCACUCAGGGCUGAUUUCCUUCAGAAUCGAUAGGUUUGAUCUUCUUGCAGUCCAUGGGACUCUCAAGAGUCUCCUCCAGCACCAUAAUUCAAAAGCAUCAAUUCUUCAGCAAUCAGCCUUCUUUAUGGUCCAGCUCUCACUUCCAUACAUUACUGGGAAAACCAUAGCUUUUACUAUACGGACCUUUGUUGGCAAGGCGAUGUCUCUACUUUUUAAGAUGCUGUCUAGGUUGGUCAUUGCUUUCCUCCCAAGAAGCAGGUGUCUCUUAAUUUCGUGGCUGCUGUCACCAUCUCCAGUGAUCUGCAGUGAUUUACAGGGAUAUACACUCGGUUUUUAUCACCCCUGUUAUACAAAAAAUUCCAAGUGGGCCCGAACCUCAAUGUCUAAAAUCUUUGAUAGAGGACAAGGAUGGAGAUCACGUUAAAAGUGGCCAAAUUUUGAGUGGUUGCCAUAAAACUUAGAGAACAAGCUGUGCUAUUAUAAAGACUGUGGCCUUAGAAGCAAAUUUUAGAUAAUAUUGCAGAACUAAGACUUAAACCAUAUUUUAACUGCUGCCAUAAUUGUAUUGUCUAUCGUUAUACUGAUUGUUAAUUCAAACUUAAUUUUAUUGUGUCUCAGUUUUGUUUAAUAUGGUAUGUGAGUCUGGUCAGGGACUGUAAUAAAUUCAAUUCAAUUCAAUUGAAGAGUGAUGGUGAUAUAGUUACUGCCAUGUUCCCUGCCUCAGGGUCUCAGCGUUACCCCAAUGCACAAGCCACCCUGCUCAGCAUCCCUUUCUACACUGACCCAGCCUAAGGACGUGAUUCUUUUAUCAUCCUUAUUGAUUCCACUGCAGUCGUUCCUGCUCCACCUCCAUACAGAUGGAUACAAUGGCAGAAGAGGCCAUAGUCCCUUCAAAAAUGGCAAGCAGAUCUCCCUUGAAGGCCAAGCUACUGGAAGGCCAAAUCAUGUUAGGAUUACUCUAAGUCAGCAGUAGGAACCUCCAAAUGUUGCUAAACUACAGCUCCCAUCAACCCCAGCAAUCAUGGCCAAUGGCCAGGGACGAUGAGAGUUGUAAUUCAGCAAUGUCUGGCGAGCCAAAGGUUGCCCACACCUGCUGUAUGCCUUUACUGAGACAACUUUGCAACUUCAGCUAGAACUGGUAGCUGUCCAGGGUCCUGAAUUGUUUUACCCUGGAAAAGGCCCUGGUAUUCACUACCACUUCCCCUGUGGCCCCCAAACCCCAGCAAUUUUGCUGAGAACUGGCUUUUUAAACGGAACGUACAUAAUGCAUGGAGAUAUUGACAACUCGUCUCAUUUUUCAUUGUCUCAAAGACCGUUACGUCUUCUUGUCUAAGAACAUACAACGGAAGGCAUCUCCUAAUUUGUAUCAGUUGGCAAUUCCUUACCAAAAGCUUUCCAUUAAAUUUCUAUCUUCUUGCAUUACAAUUAGCCUCGAAGUUGGCUAAUAUAAUUCUUUUUUUUUUCUAUAAUGAAUGCACAGUAUUGCGAGACUAAAUGCCAUCAUUUCAACCCAUCUCAUUCUACAGUCUAUUUAGCUGCAAUAAUUAGAAUGAUUUAUAAGGUCAGACCAGUGACUUAAGGGAUUAAGUAAAUCAUCCCGCAAUGGAAGAGGCUCCAGCUGCUCUUGAACUUGUGACAUCAAGGGACAAAAGCAAAAUUGACAUCCCAAGUAAUGGGCAAUUUGUGAUAACCAGAAACUGAAUGUUGUGGUUCUUGGUAGGGGGGCAGAACUUGCAAAACAAGCAAUUGCUCACAGAACACAAGCCACGUAUAUUCUAUGCAAUGCAGUUACAUCAGACCUAGAUACACUACAAAUUUAUGCUGGUUUGACACCAGUUUAGCUGUCAUGGCCUUGCCACUACACCACUGCUGCCUGCAGAGUUUGGAGGAAACUCAACUUUUACACUGGGAGAUGAGAGCUUCUUGUCUGAGGUUUUGUUCCAUUGCGUAACAUGAUUGAGAAAAGGUACUGACAAGCGGACGAGAAGGAAGCCAAGUGCCCUUAUGGAGACAUUAAAUUUUAAAAUGUUUUGCUAGAUGCCCUUUGGAGACAAUGUUACAGCCUUCCCUCUUGACCUUAACCUGCCUUCAUCGUAUUCAGCUUAAAAUGGGAGCGUAUUUCCCCUCCCAUUGGGGAAAUUCAGCUGGAACUAAUUGCUUUAUUAAAUAAUAUUUUAUUUGGGACCAUUUGCUCCUGGCACAAGGAGGGAGAGAGGGAGAGGAGAGAAUGGCUUCUUGUUAUGUCACUUGCAAAUCUAGGUCAGACAUUCAGAGAGAAGUGUUUAGCAAAUGGGCUGUAAUCAAAUUGAAAGACGAGAGGACAUUCUUCCUCAAAGGUGAAGGAGGAAAGAAGGGAGGGUGACCUCUGCUUAAAUGCCAAAACUUUUUGGAAGUAC